ensembl:lncRNA
GGCCUGGCUGCGGAGCCUGGACAGCGGCAGGAGCUGCCUCUCUGCUGCGCACAACACCCGCCUUGUCACCCGCCUUAUAUCCUCAUCCCUCCCCUACGUGGGGCUGCCGGGUGUAGGAGCGGCAGCCAGGGGGCUCACGCAGGACCAGGCAGAGAGCGCCCAGUUCUAGACUGGGACAGGGAAGGUGCGCAGUCUGAUCGGGCUUAGCUGUGCUGGCCCUGUGCCCCACUCCUGUUCAGUGACCGUGGGAGUCCCCGUGUCAGAACGCCAGGUCUGACUGGUCUCAAUAUGCAGUCCAGACUGGCCUUAAACUCACUUCAUAGCCAAGACUGACCUCGAACUCACACUGAUCCUCCUGCCUCAGCCUCCCGAGUGCUGGGAUUACAAGAGUAUGUCAUCACGCCUGCCUGGGACAUUUUAGAGUGCCUUGUUUCAUUGCCACUGUGAAUGCAACACUCCACCCGGCAAGUAAAGACAUGAUCCUUGGCCUGGAGAUGAAGAAUCUGUCACAAAGGAAAUUGAGGUGUUGAGGUUUCUUGCUUCUGCGCUGAGAAAAACCCCAACUGCCGACAAACCUAAAAAACAAUCGCCCAAGGACGCUGGAGGGGGCUGGACAGCAGCAGGCUGAUUGCAGAAAUAAGAUCACAAGAUGUCCGGGGCACAGACACGGAGGACAGAGGAUGAGAAAGAGAAGGCUUGUGUAGAAGAACAGGGAUGCUUGAAGCUCAGGAGGAAAGAGGCCAGCGUGGUGUUGUUCACCUGCUGGGGCAGAUAUUCAGUCGAAUCUCCACCUGGAUUGUUACCAUCUCUAUACAUGCGUCCCCCUCCCCAUCUGAGGCAGAAGUCUGGGGCACCCGAGACGGCCAGAGAAGUAGGCGUGACCCAGGACACUUCCGAAGCGCAGUUCUCACAUCCCUGAGAGCGGACUUCUCGCGAGAACUCAAGCAGGUUUUCCAUAGGGCAGCUGGACCUGACUCAGCUGAGGCGGCAGAUGGAAAAGGGCCGUGGACCUUGAGGGCUCUUUGGUGCUGUCCCUCUCACAGUAAUCCCCCUCACGCUGUAGAGGACACCUUCUUUCCUACUUUUUCUUGGCCUAAAUUCGCUCUGCAGAGCCUGUUUCUCUUCCUCCCUUUAAUAAAUAUAAAACCGUGUUACUGUU